AAAAUUUUAAAGAUUUUUCUACAGGCUUGGGAUAAUUUUGAUAAAUUUAUUGCCAUAUAAAUAGUGUUUAAAGACCUAAGUGUUAUAAAAUUUAUAACUAAACGCAAGAAAAAUAAAGAUAGUAAAGAAAUAAUAUAUAUUAUAUAGGUUAUUAUAAGUCACAUUGGGUUAAUAGAAAAAAUAAAUCUGAAUUAAUAAUUUGGUUACUCUAGUUUUUUUAAUGUAGACAGAGAAAUAACAUAAUAAAUUCGAAUAUCUGCGUUAAGGACCAUCCCUUAGAGCGUUUUUGGAACUUGAUAAUAAAAAUAUAAAUUUAAUCAGUAUAUAUAAUGCAGUGCUGAUGUUUUGAAUGCUUACAAAAUAUUUUUAGUGAUGUGUUUCUUAAAAAAAAAAUAUUCUCAAUUGCUACAUUUUUUACCACUUAAAACUGAAUAAUAUAUUAUGAAGUCAUUUUAAAUAAUCUACAUAUAUUUCCUUUAAAAUAUAUAAUUAAAAAAACAUAAAAUAUAUAAUAUACAUACAUGUAUAUAGCAAAUCGACUUAUUGAAAGAGAACUUGCAAACGCUUAAGAGCCAACUUCAACAAGCGACUCUUCCAGAUAGAUAUCUAUAGUAGUAAAGAUGAUAAGAGCAACUAUAUCGAACCUUCAGCUAACUGUGUUUGCUUUGCACUUUGAGCCAGAUUUAUUACUUGUCUCACUGCUAUUGGGGUUUGCGCCAAGUUCCCAUUCUCGAAGUUGUUAGAUAUUAGUUCCACAUUUGUUUUUCGCACUACCAACCGUAUGCGUUACAUAUUCCUACUGAUUUUUAUACAAACAUGUAUACAUAGAUACAAAAUAUGUAUUUUAAAAAUAUGCAGGUUUCAACCAGUCGAAUGGACUGAACAGUUUCAGGCUGUGAUGAAGGCUUCCUUUCACUUCCAAUCCAACGCUUCCAUAUCACAAUAAAUAUCAAGAGUUAAUUUCAACAAAUAUGCAAUAAACCUUC